rnacentral:rRNA from 1 species
UACGAAGGGGGGCUAGCGUUGCUCGGAAUCACUGGGCGUAAAGGGUGCGUAGGCGGGUCUUUAAGUCAGGGGUGAAAUCCUGGAGCUCAACUCCAGAACUGCCUUUGAUACUGAAGAUCUUGAGUUCGGGGAGAGGUGAGUGGAACUGCGAGUGUAGAGGUGAAAUUCGUAGAUAUUCGCAAGAACACCAGUGGCGAAGGCGGCUCACUGGCCCGAUACUGACGCUGAGGCACGAAAGCGUGGGGAGCAAACAGG